UACAGAGGGGGCAAGCGUUAUUCGGAAUUAUUGGGCGUAAAGGGCGCGUAGGCGGCCUGGCAAGUGGAUGGUGAAAUCCCUCGGCUUAACCGAGGAACUGCCAUCCAGACUGCUUGGCUUGAGACCGGGAGAGGUGAGUGGAAUUCCUGGUGUAGCGGUGAAAUGCGCAGAUAUCAGGAGGAACACCAAUGGCGAAGGCAGCUCACUGGGACGGUAUUGACGCUGAGACGCGAAAGCGUGGGGAGCAAACAGG
rnacentral:rRNA from 1 species